UACGUAGGGGGCAAGCGUUGUCCGGAUUUAUUGGGCGUAAAGAGCGUGUAGGCGGCCAUGCAGGUCCGUUGUGAAAACUCGAGGCUCAACCUCGAGACGCCGAUGGAAACCGCAUGGCUAGAGUCCGGAAGAGGCGAGUGGAAUUCCUGGUGUAGCGGUGAAAUGCGCAGAUAUCAGGAGGAACACCUAUUGCGAAGGCAGCUCGCUGGGACGUUACUGACGCUGAGACGCGAAAGCGUGGGGAGCGAACAGG
rnacentral:rRNA from 1 species